CCUACGGGGGGCUGCAGUAACGAAUCUUCCGCAAUGCACGAAAGUGUGACGGAGCGACGCCGCGUGUGGGACGAAGCCCUUCGGGGUGUAAACCACUGUCAAGAGAUAGAUCAUCUCUAGAGGAAGGCACGGCUAACUCUGUGCCAGCAGCCGCGGUAAGACAGAGGUGCCAAGCGUUAGGCGGAAUCACUGGGCUUAAAGCGUGUGUAGGUGGACCUGUAAGUAUCUUGUGAAAUCCCACGGCUUAACCGUGGAACUGCUUGAUAUACUGCGGGUCUUGAGGUGCCUAGGGGCGAGCGGAACAAAUGGUGGAGCGGUGAAAUGCGUAGAUAUCAUUUGGAACGCCAAUGGUGAAAACAGCUCGCUGGGGCACCUGACACUGAGACACGAAAGCCAGGGGAGCAAACGGGAUUAGAUACCCUUGUAGUC
rnacentral:rRNA from 1 species